AGUGCUCGCAGUUCAACUAGCAGCGACUUAGGAGGUUGCCCUAGCUGACGUGGAUGAGGUUGCCCUAGCUGACGUGGAUGGCCAAUCUAGCUGCUAGAUUAGAAGACCAUAGGGGUUAGCCUUAGAUACAGUUGGUAAAUAUGGAGAAAAUGGACGUUGGUACUAACUUGAUCUUAGCUUUGGCACACAUUGACAAUGAGCUGAAGCGGUAAGAGCUUCACAUCUUUGGGCCAAUCAUAAGGGUGGGAAUAACCUCAAAAGGCAGAAUGUAUGAAGAAGCCCACUCCUGCAAUACCUCAAAGGCUCGAAGAACUGACACUUUAAGAACAGCCGUUGUAUAUUGACCUUGAAGAAGGAAAGAACUUUGAGAACCUCUAUGUUAUAGAAGGAUGCAAUUUACUGUGGUUGUAUUUCCCUAUACUUCGUUAGGUGCAAGGUCAUUCUAUACUCCUAGUGAUUUUUAUGUCAUACUUUUUUUAAGAUUUGACAUUUAUUUCAUUUCCCUAGGUGGCUGCAGGUUUUAUGUGCCAGUUUAGAUGAGUAGCAGGCAGACACGUCAUAAAAAUAGGAGCAAAGCAGUUGGAAGGAAAAUCCAAGUUACAGAGCCUCUUAGAUACUAGGGCUGGGCUAGAACACAGCUGCUCCUGGGGACGAAUGCCAGCAGGAAUUGCAAUGGUGCCGAUGGUUCUGCCAGAUGGACGAGUUGGAUAUGUUUUGUAAGUUACAACAGCCUGGUGCACAAACUCCUGUACCCCCACAAUCUCGGAGAGAUGAUAGUGGCAGUAGUGACUCAUGUAGAUCACAAGGAAGUGGAGGAAAUAAUGGUGGUGAUGGGGGUCGUAGCUGGAGGUAAAACCCUUAUUAGUAGUGGUGGUAUCUUGUAAUAUGAUCUGUUUUCUUGAAGAAUCUUGAUCUAACGAAACAAGAAAAAGAAGCUUGAGACAAACAAAGUUAUUUGCCUAAACGUUCUUCUGUAACUCACCCAUAGUGUAAUUCUCUGUGUGCUCACCUUUGGUAGUGUUUGGAAUCGAUUGUGAUCAAUAAUUGUUCUUGAACGAUUGUGAUGAUAUUGAGAUUCCAUCCAAAUAAUAAAUUGGGUCUUCUAGUACAUCUAAAAUGGAAUAUGCAGGUGCAUAAUUAAUAUAUAUUCAGGUGCAGAAAUCUGU